GCAAGUUUUUUGUUAAUUUUCUGUUGGGUGUUUUUUUUAAUAGUGAGCUAUUGCAAAAAUUAUUUCACAAAAUUUCCUAUUUGAAAAAUGAUUUUUAUUUCUCUGUUUCACAUCCGUUUUGUGCAGGGCUCUUUCAUGUAGUGCACCAGUGGAGGUGUACUCUGCGCGAGUCAAGUCUAGGGCACUGGCCAUUCUGCCACUGGUAUGCUGGCAGUGUGGGGAAACAGACACGCUUCCCAUCCCUCCAGAGAAACUGCAGUGUUUCAGAGCAUUCAUCCAGUGUGCCAGGUUUGCAAAGCCACUCGUGUUGAAGAGCGUACAAGAGUAAAGAGAAAGCUGGAGAGGAAGGGAUCUAGAGAGGAAGAAGAUGGACCACUAACUUUCAGGGAGAGAAAACUGCGAAGGAGGAAGCUGCGAAGGAGGAAGCUGUGAAGGAGGAUGAGACCUGAAUAAGACUAACUACAUCUACCUCCUGCAAAUAAAAACUUGUUUGAUGCAGUCACUGUGUCCUGUGGUUCAAUCCGCAAUAUCGGCUUUGUAUUCCUGUGGUUA